AAGACUAUACUUUCAGGGAUCAUUUCAAUAGUAUGUUACUAGAGAACUGUGGCUGGAAGUGUAGCACAGAGGUACCAUCAUACCUAAUGGA
rnacentral:snoRNA from 1 species